UGUGCCGUUGCCCGUUGGAGAUUAUCGUGCCAAGUAUCGUCCGACCUGUAAACCAUCUGGAUCGGAGCUGCAUUCCGUCCAGGAAGGAGAACCGCCGUAUAUGUACAGCAGCGAAGCUGUCAGUUUGGCUGUAAGCGGGUGUGCCGUAGGAGGUGCACUCAGUUGAAGGUAAAGCUAGAGGAGAUAAGAGAGGAAAAACGAAGAAAAAAGUGGAAGAAGGUGUGGACUGUGGUUAGAGGAGGAGGAAGAUCCAGCAAUCCUCCUACAUGUGACCGCAACGGUAUCUCUCAAGACUGACAGGAUUGGCUGACUAGUUGGUACAUGAGAGUAUACGGCAAAUGACUGACGAGCUACAGUUCAGGGGCGACAACAAACAAACGAACUACUGAAGGAAAAAAUGACAAACAAACAAAACUACUGAAGACGAAAGGACAGGCUUCAGCAUGGACGGACAAUCAGCUACGAGAGCUAUGACAGUGACGUGGAUGAUAUAUAUGAUAAGAUCAGAAUAUGACUUGGUAACAUCAAAAGACUUCCCAACCUUCCGUUAUCUCUGCAAUAGAGGUGCCACCUAAUCGGACAUUCAGACAAGCAAUGCGUGCUCAAUUAGCGCUAGCUCUAAGACUUGCUUAUGAUUGAAGAUCAGACAAACAUUGCACCAGCUGAAAACGAAGACUGUAUACUAUAUAGGAGUGUAUGGUCAUCUAUUCACCAAAUCAUCA